rnacentral:rRNA from 1 species
AUUGAACGCUGGCGGCAGGCCUAACACAUGCAAGUCGAACGAGUGGCGGACGGGUGAGUAAUGUCUGGGAAACUGCCUGAUGGAGGGGGAUAACUACUGGAAACGGUGGCUAAUACCGCAUACCAUCGGAUGUGCCCAGAUGGGAUUAGCUAGAAGGUGGGGAAACGGCUCACCUAGGCGACGAUCCCUAGCUGGUCUGAGAGGAGGACAAGCCACACUGGAACUGAGAAACGGUCCAGACUCAUACGGGAGGAAGCAGGGGGGAAUUUUGCACAAUGGGCGAAAGCCUGAUGCAGCCAUGCCGCGUGUAUGAAGAAGGCCUUCGGGUUGUAAAGUACUUUCAGCGGGGAGGCGUUACCCGCAGAAGAAGCACCGGCUAACUCCGUGCCAGCAGCCGCGUAAUAC